CAGGCGUCGAGCGGCGGACGGGUGAGUAAUGCAUAGGAAUCUGCCCGAUAGUGGGGGAUAACCUGGGGAAACUCAGGCUAAUACCGCAUACGUCCUACGGGAGAAAGCAGGGGAUCUUCGGACCUUGCGCUAUCGGAUGAGCCUAUGUCGGAUUAGCUAGUUGGUGAGGUAACGGCUCACCAAGGCGACGAUCCGUAGCUGGUCUGAGAGGAUGAUCAGCCACACUGGGACUGAGACACGGCCCAGACUCCUACGGGAGGCAGCAGUGGGGAAUAUUGGACAAUGGGGGAAACCCUGAUCCAGCCAUGCCGCGUGUGUGAAGAAGGCCUUCGGGUUGUAAAGCACUUUCAGCGAGGAAGAAGGCCUGAGGGCUAAUACCCUUCAGGAAGGACAUCACUCGCAGAAGAAGCACCGGCUAACUCCGUGCCAGCAGCCGCGGUAAUACGGAGGGUGCGAGCGUUAAUCGGAAUUACUGGGCGUAAAGCGCGCGUAGGUGGCUUGAUAAGCCGGUUGUGAAAGCCCCGGGCUCAACCUGGGAACGGCAUCCGGAACUGUCAGGCUAGAGUGCAGGAGAGGAAGGUAGAAUUCCCGGUGUAGCGGUGAAAUGCGUAGAGAUCGGGAGGAAUACCAGUGGCGAAGGCGGCCUUCUGGACUGACACUGACACUGAGGUGCGAAAGCGUGGGUAGCAAACAGGAUUAGAUA
rnacentral:rRNA from 1 species